UUGAAGUGCAACCAUAAGUUUCCGCGUCCAACUUUAAUCGUCCGUCUUAUUUAAAUUUAUUUUAUAAUUAGUAUUUUUAUCAUUAUGAGAUGAUACAACAUGAAUAAUCCUUUAUACGUAACUUAUGUUUUUAAAUUUUUUCAAAAGUUUUUCAAAUAAGACGGACGGUCAAAGUUGCGCACAAAAAAUUGUGGCUGCACUUAAA
rfam:Oryza meridionalis cultivar OR44 (W2112) chromosome 5, whole genome shotgun sequence.